AAGGAAAUGAUAUUCUGAGACAAAAAGCCAACUCUAAACCUUGGGAGAUGGUGACAGUUACAAAAUGCAGGCCUGUGAAGAAAGUGUGUCCAUAAAAUCCUGACACCAUCUUCUUUCUCAUCAGAUUGGUAGAGAGAGUUUAGAAGCUCAAAACCACCAUCAUCCUUUCACUGUUCCUUUCUGAGUGUCUUCUCAGUAAGUGGAAGCUCCUUUUCUCACCUUGAGCUUAACAUAAAAUCUUUUUGAAAGUGAUGAUUUUUUUGUUGUUGUUAGUGGUAGUUAUGGAUUUGCCAUAAGAAUACAGCAAUUGCUAAUAUAUUGCCAUCGAUACAAUUAAUACAAAUAAUAAUAUAGGAUGACAAUAUAGCAUAUAACUAACAGUGUGAACCUUGGAUUCAGAAAAGCUUGGCUUUGAAUCCUUGUCCAUUAUUACUAGCUGUGUGCAAAUUAUUGAAACCCUCUCAGCCUCAAUUUUGCAUCCAUAAAAUGGGAUCAUAAUAAUGAUUAUUCAAAUUCAACUUAAAGGGAAGUCUGAAUUAGAUGUGAAAAUGUAUGUAUAAAUCACACAAGUACUCAGUAAAUAGUCACUAUUAACAUUGUCAUAAAUUCGUAGCUGUUGUUUCAUAGUCACAGUGAGAUGAUAAGGAAAAAUCCCUAUAUUCAAACUAGAAUUGAUUUCUAGCUCAAUAUUCUGAACAAAUGUGUUUUAUACAUUCUAUCAAAAUCCCAAAUCAGUUGUAUGUUUUUAAUUUGUUUGUAAAUAUUUGUCAUGUUGUCAUUUUAAGAGAAUUUAAAAGGAAAAAUACUGUCUUGACUAAUAUCAAGAAUUCCACUUACAAGCAUGUUUUCCUUUUAGCACCACCUCUUGUCGCAUAUGGGUCCAAUGCCCUGAUUUUCAAAAUGUGGUGGGAAACUAGUGAACUGGUGUCAAUGAAUAUCUCGUAGUUUGUCCUGUUCUCAUUCAACUUGUAAGUUCACUGGAUACAUGCAUGAGUAUUUUAAUUGUCCAGAAAGGCAGUUAUUGAUCUGGGUCACAUCUCCACAAGAUUUUAUAGAGAUAGGUUCCAAUAAAGUAGUCCUAAGGCUUAAAUAUCAGAGGCAUAAAGGGAAGAAGACAUUUUGCCACAUGCUGUAAAAACAAAUAUCUUGAUCAUGCAGACUCCAUAUCUUAGGAUAUUGUUAAUUUACAUUCCACAUCUUAGAACACUUAGACUCCACCACCUACUAUGGCAGGCAGAAAAGGUUCAUAACAAUAAAAAGGAUUCCUAAAGAUGUGCAA
rnacentral:lncRNA from 1 species